rnacentral:rRNA from 1 species
AAUAUUGCACAAUGGUCGAAAGCCUGAUGCAGCAACGCCGCGUGAGGGAAGACGGCCUUCGGGUUGUAAACCUCUUGUAGUAGGGAAGAAGCGAAAGUGACGGUACCUGAAGAAAAAGCACCGGCUAACUACGUUCCAGCAUCCGCGGUAAUACGCCGGGUGCAAGCGUUGUCCGGAAUUAUUGGGCGUAAAGAGCUCGUAGGCUGUUUGUCGCAGCUGCUGUGAAAUCCCGAGGCUCAACCUCGGGUCUGCAGUGGGUACGGGCAGACUAGGGUGUGGUAGGGGAGAUUGGAAUUCCUGGUGUAGCGGUGGAAUGCGCAGAUAUCAGGAGGAACACCGAUGGCGAAGGCAGAUCUCUGGGCCAUUACUGACGCUGAGGAGCGAAAGCAUGGGGAGCGAA